rnacentral:rRNA from 1 species
CUGCUGCCUUCCGUAGGAGUUUGGGCCGUGUCUCAGUCCCAAUGUGGCCGGUCACCCUCUCAGGUCGGCUACUGAUCGUCGGCUUGGUGGGCCGUUACCUCACCAACUACCUAAUCAGACGCGGGUCCCUCCUAUACCACUAUCGUUUUUCACUCAGCGCCAUGCGGCUCCGUGCGCUUAUGCGGUAUUAGCAGUCAUUUCUAACUGUUAUCCCCCUGUAUAGGGCAGGUUCCCCACGCGUUACUCACCCGUCCGCCG